CCAUAUGCUUGUCUCAAAGAUUAAGCCAUGCAGGUCUGAGUACGGCCUCUAGCGAAAAGGCGAAACCGCGAAUGGCUCAUUAAAUCAGUUAUGGUUCCUUAGAGCUUACGUUGUCUUACUUGGAUAACCGUGGUAAUUCUAGAGCUAAUACAUGCACCGAAGCUCCGACCCCYUCGGGGGAACGAGCGCUUUUAUUAGACCGCAACGACCGUAUCCGCCGUUCUCGUUCACACGGACGGGAGCGGACGUGUUUGCGUGGUGACUCUGGAUAACUUAGCCGAUCGUCCGUCGCACCUAUUCAGUUAGGUUUAAACGACGGACGACGCACCUUUCAAGUGUCUGCCUUAUCAACUGUCGACGGUAGGUCAAGUGCCUACCGUGGUAGUAACGGGUGACGGGGAAUCAGGGUUCGAUUCCGGAGAGGAAGCCUGAGAAACGGCUACCACAUCCAAGGAAGGCAGCAGGCUCGCAAAUUACCCACUCCCGGCACGGGGAGGUAGUGACGAAAAAUAACGAUGCGGGACUCGGUCGAGACCCCGCCAUCGGAAUGAGUACACUCUAAAUCCUUUAACGAGGACCCACCGGAGGGCAAGUCUGGUGCCAGCAGCUGCGGUAAUUCCAGCUCCGGUAGCAUAUGCUAAAGUUGCUGCGGUUAAAAAGCUCGUAGUUGGAUCUCAGUCUCGGCCGCCCGGUCUCGCCCGUGUUGGCGGGUCUCGCGGCGGCCGGUCAGAAUGUCGGCCGCCCGGGAUGAUCUUGACCGGUUGUCUCGGAACGGCCGGCGCGUUUACUUUGAAAAAAUCAAAGUGCUCAGAGCGGGCGUUAUCCGCCCGGACGUUCGUGCAUGGAAUAAUGGAAGAGGACCUCGGUUCCAGCGUCUGUUGGUCCGCGAACCCAGAGGUAAUGAUUAAGAGGAACGGCCGGGGGCGAUCGUACCGCGACGCUAGAGGUGAAAUUCUUGGACCGUCGCGUGACGCACUACAGCGAAAGCAUUCGUCAAGAACGCUUCCGUUAAUCAAGAACGAAAGUCAGAGGUUCGAAGGCGAUCAGAUACCGCCCUAGUUCUGACCGUAAACGAUGCCGACCAGCGAUCGGGCUGCGCUCGCCACGACGAGGCGCCCGGAAGCUUUCCGGGAAACCAGAGUUUCUGGGUUCCGGGGGAAGUAUGGUUGCAAAGCUGAAACUUAAAGGAAUUGACGGAAGGGCACCACCAGGAUUGGGGCCUGCGGCUCAAUUUGACUCAACACGGGAAAACUCACCCGGCCCGGACACGGGAAGGAUUGACAGACCGAUUGCUCUUUCUUGAUUCUGUGGGUGGUGGUGCAUGGCCGUUCUUAGUUGGUGGAGCGAUUUGUCUGGUUGAUUCCGAUAACGAACGAGACUCUAGCCUGCUAAAUAGCGAGCUCUAUGAACGCGGGGCCUGCGCGCCACACUGACGCCCACAGCGUGCGCGCUCGCCCGGUCCGACAGGAUCGGGGAACCCCUUCAACGGACGUCGUGCUGGGGACAGGGGAUUGGAAUUGUUCCCCUCGAACGAGGAAUUCCCAGUAAGCGCGAGUCACUAGCUCGCGUUGAUUACGUCCCUGCCCUUUGUACACACCGCCCGUCGCUACUACUGAUUGAACGGUUCGGUGAGGUCCUCGGACUGGCUUACGCUGGCGGGACCCUUUGCGUCGUUUCCUCGUCUCCCUCG
rnacentral:rRNA from 1 species